ensembl:misc_RNA 7SK 7SK RNA
GAGUGAUCUGGCUGUGACAUCUGUUACCUGAUUGCCAGGGUUGAUCUGGCUGAUCUGUCUGGCUAGAUGGGUGUGUCCCUCCUGAAGCUGCACAUUCAGUCCUUGAUAAAGGAGGACCGUUCUUCCAUCAAGGGCAUUCAAGUAGCUGCAUCGCCCCCCCCCGAACCUCCAAACAGGCUCUCAAAGAGCAUUAAACCAAACAUAACUUGAUUUUAAGGAGAACCUGCUAGAAGAGAUGAUCUCAGGCUCCUUGAGCAAGAAAGAUUUUUAAGAACUCUGUU